AUUGAACGCUGGCGGCAGGCCUAACACAUGCAAGUCGAGCGGAUGAAGGGAGCUUGCUCCUGGAUUCAGCGGCGGACGGGUGAGUAAUGCCUAGGAAUCUGCCUGGUAGUGGGGGAUAACGUCCGGAAACGGGCGCUAAUACCGCAUACGUCCUGAGGGAGAAAGUGGGGGAUCUUCGGACCUCACGCUAUCAGAUGAGCCUAGGUCGGAUUAGCUAGUUGGUGGGGUAAAGGCCUACCAAGGCGACGAUCCGUAACUGGUCUGAGAGGAUGAUCAGUCACACUGGAACUGAGACACGGUCCAGACUCCUACGGGAGGCAGCAGUGGGGAAUAUUGGACAAUGGGCGAACGCCUGACGCAGCAACGCCGCGUGCGGGAUGACGGCCU
rnacentral:rRNA from 1 species